CCCGCUGAACUUAAGCAUACCAAUAAGCGGAGGAAAAGAAACUAACAAGGAUUCCCCUAGUAACUGCGAGUGAAGCGGGAAAAGCUCAAAUUUAAAAUCUGGUAGUCUUUGGCUGCCCGAGUUGUAAUCUAGAGAAGCAUUAUCCGCGUCGGACCGUAUACAAGUUUUCCUGGAACGGAGCGUCAUAGAGGGUGAGAAUCCCGUCUUUGAUACGGACUACCGAGGCUUUGUGAUGUGCUCUCAAAGAGUCGAGUUGUUUGGGAAUGCAGCUCUAAAUGGGUGGUAAAUUCCAUCUAAAGCUAAAUAUUGGCGAGAGACCGAUAGCGAACAAGUACCGUGAGGGAAAGAUGAAAAGAACUUUGGAAAGAGAGUUAAACAGUACGUGAAAUUGUUGAAAGGGAAACGCUUGAAGUCAGUCGCGUUUGCCGGGGAUCAGCCUUGCUUCUGCUUGGUGUACUUCCUGGUUGACGGGUCAGCAUCAAUUUUGACCGGUGGAUAAAGGUCAAGGGAAUGUGGCACCUUCGGGUGUGUUAUAGCCCUUGGCUGCAUACAUCGGUUGGGAUUGAGGAACUCAGCACGCCGCAAGGCCGGGUCUUUUUGAUCACGUACGUGCUUAGGAUGCUGGCAUAAUGGCUUUAAUCGACCCGUCUUGAAACACGG
rnacentral:rRNA from 1 species